AGACUAGUCGUGAGUUAAAGGCUCCAGCAGUUACUAGCGACUGAGUGUCGCUCAUUGACUGGAUCUGCCAACCUACGAGCAGCAGUAGGAAUUCUUCCACAUGACGCAGGUCUGAUGGAAGCACGCCGCUGGGAUGAAGAUGCUUCGGUCGUAAAACUCUGUUGUUGAGAAGAAUGUCGCCAGAGUAACUGUGUCGGCGUGACGUUAUCCAACAGAAAGCACGGCUAACUACGUGCCAGCAGCGCGGUAAUACGUAGGUGGCAAGCGUUAUCCGGAUUUUAUUGGGCGUAAAGCGAGCGCAGGCGGUUUUUUUAGUCUGAUGUGAAAGCCCUCGGCUUAACCGAGGAAGUGCAUCGGAAACUGGGAAACUUGAGUGCAGAAGAGGACAGUGGAACUCCAUGUGUAGCGGUGAAAUGCGUAGAUAUAUGGAAGAACACCAGUGGCGAAGGCGGCUGUCUGGUCUGUAACUGACGCUGAGGCUCGAAAGCAUGGGUAGCGAACAGGAUUAGAUACCCUGGUAGUGCAUGCCGUAAACGAUGAAUGCUAGGUGUUGGAGGGUUUCCGCCCUUCAGUGCCGCAGCUAACGCAUUAAGCAUUCCGCCUGGGGAGUACGACCGCAAGGUUGAAACUCAAAGGAAUUGACGGGGGCCCGCACAAGCGGUGGAGCAUGUGGUUUAAUUCGAAGCAACGCGAAGAACCUUACCAGGUCUUGACAUCUUUUGAUCACCUGAGAGAUCAGGUUUCCCCUUCGGGGGCAAAAUGACAGGUGGUGCAUGGUUGUCGUCAGCUCGUGUCGUGAGAUGUUGGGUUAAGUCCCGCAACGAGCGCAACCCUUAUGACUAGUUGCCAGCAUUUAGUUGGGCACUCUAGUAAGACUGCCGGUGACAAACCGGAGGAAGGUGGGGAUGACGUCAAAUCAUCAUGCCCCUUAUGACCUGGGCUACACACGUGCUACAAUGGAUGGUACAACGAGUUGCGAGACCGCGAGGUCAAGCUAAUCUCUUAAAGCCAUUCUCAGUUCGGACUGUAGGCUGCAACUCGCCUACACGAAGUCGGAAUCGCUAGUAAUCGCGGAUCAGCACGCCGCGGUGAAUACGUUCCCGGGCCUUGUACACACCGCCCGUCACACCAUGAGAGUUUGUAACACCCGAAGCCGGUGGCGUAACCCUUUUAGGAGCGAGCCGUCUUAAUGAUUAAACCCCAGCCGGGCCC
rnacentral:rRNA from 1 species